ACCACCAGUGAGCAAUGGUUGCAGCAGUCAAGACCAGUAGAUGACACUGACAAGGAUGAUGAUGGUCAUGACAGCUGAAACUAGCAAGCUGCUAAAAAUCACAAAACAACAGCUACUGUCAUUACUUCAAAACUUCCAUGCUUUCUGAAAUUUGCCAACAGUACACCUGAUGACCUCCAUCUCCGUUUCUUCUUGUUUUUUAAAAAACUUUUUCACUAUUCGCUUCCUGCGCAUAUUCUAUCAACUGUUCAUGCAGUUUUGGUUACUUUUCUGAUGUUCAAUGCCACUAUAGCUCCCCGUUCUUUCUCUGUCAUCAUCAAAAUAGGAAUAUUUAUAUUACUUCAACUGGUGACCCCCCGAGAAGAAACAAGCUUUUCAACCCCCAAAACAUUGAUAAGAACGCUUGCAGUUUUUCGUUGCCUGUACUGCCCACUAUUUGAUCACUAUAUAUGCAACAUGUAACAGGAAACCAAGAACAAAUCCCUGUGGAACACCAGAAGUAAUUACAUCGUAAUCUACACCAUCUAAAAUGUGUCUCUGGGAAAUUUCGGACUGAUGUCAGUUGGUUACAUAAUUGUAUUUAUGCUAGUCUGUUGCGGCUAAAUUAGGUCCCAUAUAAAUCAAUCUGUGAAAUUGUGUGUUUAGAAUAAAGAAUAUAACUCUGGUCUUUAUUCUAAAAUAAAAUAUGCAAGAAUAUAUCUUUUUAUCAUUCUGUAAACUUUCGUCUCAGAGAAUUAAAGGUGUCCUGAUAUUUCUUUUAGUAAUUUAAGCAAUGAAGGCUCCCUCCAUGAAAAAAUGCAAAUUAUCGUACAAACCGCCCCCUACACUCGCGCCAAAAUUAAAUAUGGCGAGACCUGUCGCUCUGAAGUAUGUUGUGAGUUUUACUUCUCAGGAUGAAACCCAUUCCGUGCAAAACCUUCUAAAGGAUGGAUGUUUCAAAAAAUGGCUGUCUAAUCCCAAAGAUAGAACGGGAAUAAUGGAAGGAGUAUUUCAGUUGGAUCAAGCAUCUGUGAUAUCGUAUUUAGAUAUUGGUUCACAUAUGUGCUCCAAUAUAGAAAUUCGUGUUGGAAAAUCUGAUUGGCCUCAGAGUCGUGAGUUUGAACCAUUAAUACGAAACAUCAAUUUAAUGACCCUAUCUGAUGUUCAACUUCGUCGUAAUGUAAAUCACACAUCUAUGUUCAGUACUAAGGAUUUUUGUCCUGCAGCUUCUAAUGGAGUUUGGGAUCGUAUUCAUGUGAUUUGUCGACAGAAUUAUCGUAAAAAUGUCCAGUUUGGUCUCUCUUUCAUCAGAAUAAAAAAUAAACUUGUAGAUUCUUCACCACAGUCACCUAAACAAACUGUUGAAAAGGAUAUAUCGAAGAAAAUAUCGAAUGAAAUGAUUCAGCAGCAUUUUUUCAAAAACAAGCAGCCUUCUGUAUCUGAAAAUGAAAAACUUAAAGCCCAAUUAUUGAAAUUAUCAACCUGUGGAGAGGGUGGGCUUGAGUCAGUACAAGGAUUAUCUCGACCUGCUCAAAUGUUGCUUGCUGCUAAAGAAAAUGUUGGGAAAUAUUCUCCUGAGACUCGAUACAAAUCUGGUGGAAAAACUAAAAACGAUGUGUUAUUUUCAGAAACAGCUGCUCAAAGACAGAAUUUAACGAUAGAAGAAGAAAUGGAUUUAUUUAUAUCAAAGUUAAAAAUUAACAAGAAACAAUUACAUUCUGUCACCAUAGCUGAUCUACGACACCAGUUUGAAAAGAAGAAGCGGAAAUUGACUGUUGAAGAGCGAAACACUUAUGCAACCAAAGUCACUGACCAUAUCAAUAGUGUAUUUUCUUUGAGGGACUUGCAUAAAAAGGAGAAGGUAAUUGACCAGGAGGAGGAAGUACAGCAGUCCAAGAGGCUUAAAAUUGAACACAGGAACCAUAACACAAGCAAUAACUUGCCAUUGCCUUCAGCUGCUUCAACAUCAAAAAAUAAUUAUUCCAAUUUGCAACAUAAAGCAACAAACUUAAUUGAGACAAAAGAAACUCAAGAAGGCUCAGGUGAUUUUCAGUUAUUGAUGGAUAUGCCUGAAGAUUUACCAAAGACCAUUAAUACUAAGAAUCAGAACUUAAAUACAUCUGUUAAUAAUUUUGAACCUUUGCUUCAAAAUACCAACUUUUUAAAUUCUAGUGAAAUAUCAUCUGGUAAAUUAGAAGCAAUGACUAUUAAAAAGGAUUCUUUUGCUUUGGGUAAAACCGGACAUACCAAGACGUCUCCAAAAAAUUCAUUUUCAUCUUCAGGGGACCAUACUACUACAUCUAAUACAGAUAUUAGAGUGGAUCUUGAAGAAAUGGACUUUGAUUGUGUUAGUUGUCCACUCUGUGGAGAAUUCUUCCCAGGAGAUGUUAUUGAAAUGCAUGCCAAUGUUUGUGCUGAUAGCCAGCAGUUUGAAUUACAUUAUUCUCCUUGAAUUAGGUAAUAACUGUUGUUUUGGGACUGUUAUAUUAUGUAAACACUUCAUUUAUAAAGUCAGUGACUCACAACUAUUACUACUUGGUCAAACCAACAGAUUUGAAAGCUAAAAGACACAAGUGAGAAAAUAAAAUUCACUUAUGAAGCUAACAGAUGGAGUUAAUAUUGGAGAGAAUGAGAGGAAGCUUAGAGGCAAAGGCAGCAGACAUAAAGGGAUAUUACAGAGAUGAAAAGAAGUUCAGUUAAUUUGGGACAAAAGAAUACUGAGAUGGUUAUAUUUCUGUUAAAAAAAAAAUGGAAUUACAUUAUGAAAUACAGUGAGAGUUACAUGUGCUCAAAUUGUGAAGAUGUUGGACUGCUAGCUAAAAAAAUCAGUUUAUAUCUUCUCUGUCGCAGUAAGCUAUGACAAGAUAUUUCCUCAUCUUCAGUGGUUCUAGGGUAUCAGAAUGAAGAGGGUAAAUGUUACUUUCAGGCAUCUACUUUACCUUUAGGUUUCUAUGUUCAGUAAAUAACAGAGUAGGUAUUGUGAUGAAGCAUAGCACAUCAUUGAAAGCAAGGAGAGCAUUUUAUUGAGCGCACCAGUGGACACUAAAAAAAAACCUGAAUUCUAUCUAAGGGAAGAAACCUUAGGUAAUGUUAUGAACAAAAACAUACAAGCAAAACUAAAUUUAAAUCCCCACCCUGCCUUUUUUUAUAUUAAAAGAACCACCUCGUCUAUGGAAUCAAAUCUUUAUAGUGAAAGUUACUAUUAUAAGAAAACCCUUCACUUUACACAAUACACACAUUAUACAAUUUGAAGAAAAGAAGUUUGAAUCAUGUAUU